UACGUAGGUGGCAAGCGUUAUCCGGAUUUAUUGGGCGUAAAGGGAACGCAGGCGGUCUUUUAAGUCUGAUGUGAAAGCCUUCGGCUUAACCGGAGUAGUGCAUUGGAAACUGCGGGGCUGGAGUGCAGGAGGGGUAAGCGGAAUUCCUAGUGUAGCGGUGAAAUGCGUAGAUAUUAGGAGGAACACCGGUGGCGAAGGCGGCUUACUGGACUGUAACUGACGUUGAGGCUCGAAGGCGUGGGGAGCAAACAGG
rnacentral:rRNA from 1 species